rnacentral:lncRNA from 1 species
CCCGCCCCUUCCCGCUGCCGGCCCCUGAGCGGCCACCCCAAGCCCUCCCGGGCGCCUUCUCUGGUUCUCCCCGACUCUGCUUUUCCCCCAGUCUGCUUCGGAUUGCUGUCUCCCGCACCCCACGUUAGCAGCCAGCAGGACCCGGGUGGUGUGGACCAGGGGUGGAGCCGUUCCUUGUACCCCCUAUCCCACCUGCCUCCACUAACCCUCCCCCAGCGAGAGCGGAGAGCUGAGAACUAACGACUAGAGACCCAGAAAGGUGAGGUUGCUCCAGGCGCGAGGGUCCUCAGGACCAGUAAUCCUCAAGUUGGUGCCAGGAGAGGCUCCAAGGUGGGGAAACUGAGGCUUAGAAAAGGACAUUGGCCAAGGUCACCAGGCAGGGCCAGCAGGCAGAGGCCAAGCACAGAUCUGCAGGAGACUCCGCUGGCCUGUGGCUGACACCAGCAGUUGACUUGAUCCCACAAAGGGCUGUUGUCCUGGCUCCUUCCUGAGCCCUUGCCUCUCAGUUUGCAGAGCAGGAGCCAAGGUCUGUCUCAUGUCCCCAGGGGCCAUGAGGAGGAGGCAGACGACCCAGAGCCUGUUGGUCACAUGGCUGCAGGACACUGUGAAGAUACGUUUUCAAACCCACUUGCAGAUGAGAGUGUUUGAACUGUGCACGGCCACCUACAUGUGAGCUGUGAGCUGGCAGCGAAGGGCAGAAGCCCGGAAGCAGGUGUGGGCAGGUGCGAAGGCCCUUGGGCUGGGAGUGCUAUGCGUAUCCGAGCACAGAUGUGUGUGUCUCCGUGUACAAUUAUGGGAUCUGGUGAGCCCCUGGCCUGGGUGGGCCUCAGCUGGCCUCAGUCUCAUUCCUGGAACCCUCAUCUGAACUAUCUCCCUGCCCCCUUGGGUCCAAUCAGCCAAAGGCCCCAGCAGGAAAGCUGAUUGCCACAGCCUGGCCAUGCCCUUCCCUGGCUGAUUACAUUUUUCUGCUUGUUUCUGCUUUUGUCGCUGAUUAAUCAUAGCCCUGUCUUGGCGCCGGGAGAGAGGGGCUCAGUGAGAGACAACACCCCCAGCCACCCUGGGCCAAGGCAGGCCUGAACCUUUAGG